UAAAAGGUUAAUUAAGAAUUGUGC
rnacentral:siRNA from 1 species